rnacentral:rRNA from 1 species
GACGAACGCUGGCGGCGUGCUUAACACAUGCAAGUCGAACGGAAAGGCCCUGCUUUUGUGGGGUUCUCGAGUGGCGAACGGGUGAGUAACACGUGAGUAUCCUGCCCUUGACUUUCGGAUAACUUCACGAAACUGGGGCUAAUACCGGAUAGAAGCUCCUGCUGCAUGGUGGGCGUUGGAAAGUUUCGGCGGUUGGGGAUGGACUCGCGGCUUACCAGCUUGUUGGUGGGGUAGUGGCUUACCAAGGCUUUGACGGGUAGCCGGCCUGAGAGGGUGACCGGCGACAUGGGGACUGAGAGACGGACCAGACGCCUACGGGAGGCAGCAGUGGGGAGUAUUGCACAAUGGGCGGAAGCGUGAGGCAGCAACGCCGCGUGCGGGAUGACGGCCUUCGGGUUAUAAACCGCUUUCGCCUGUGACGAAGCGGGAGUGACGGUAAUGGGUAAAGAAGCACCGGCUAACUACGUG